UCGAGAAUUUUUCUCAAUGGGGGAAACCCUGAAGGAGCGACGCCGCGUGGGGGAUGAAUGGCUUCGGCCCGUAAACCCCUGUCAUUUGCGAUCAAACCUUACGGCCUAACACGCCGUAAGCUGAUAGUAGCGGAAGAGGAAGGGACGGCUAACUCUGUGCCAGCAGCCGCGGUAAUACAGAGGUCCCAAGCGUUGUUCGGAUUUACUGGGCGUAAAGGGUGCGUAGGUGGUCAGGUAAGUCUGAUGUGAAAUCUUCGAGCUCAACUCGAAAACUGCAUCGGAUACUAUCUGACUAGAGGAAUGGAGGGGAGACUGGAAUACUUGGUGUAGCAGUGAAAUGCGUAGAUAUCAAGUGGAACACCAGUGGCGAAGGCGAGUCUCUGGACAUUUCCUGACGCUGAGGCACGAAAGCCAGGGGAGCAAACGGG
rnacentral:rRNA from 1 species